rnacentral:rRNA from 1 species
GACGAACGCUGGCGGCGUGCUUAACACAUGCAAGUCGAACGAGGCCCGUUUUGCUAUUUCCUUCGGGGCGGUUUUUUUUGUCACUGGGGUGCUGCCGGGUGAGUAACCCGUCGUUAACCUGCUUUGUCCUGGGAGAGAGCACUUAUACACGGCUGCUCAUACCGCAUGAACGCCCGGCUUCGCAUGGUUCAGUUUGAAAAACUCCGGUGGUAUAAGAUGUAACCGCGUUGGUUUAGCUAGUUGGUGAGGUAACGGCGCCCCAAGGCGACGAUCCAUAGCCGACCUGAGAGGGUGACCGGCCACAUUGGGACUGAGACACGGCCCAAACUCCGACGGGAGGCAGCAGUGGGGAAUAUUGCACAAUGGGCGAAAGCCUGAUGCAGCGACGCCGCGGGAGCGAAGAAGUAUUUCGGUAUGUAAAGCUCUAUCAGCAGGGAAGAUAAUGACGGAACCUGACUAAGAAGCACCGGCUAAAUACGU